GUUAAAAACUCGAAAACCGUCUUUAAUCCUCCACAUCAUCUGGACCCCACUCCACUUAUAACAUUUUCUCUCUCAGUUUUUCUAGUCCCCACCCCACCUCUCCUUAGUGGCGAAGGAAAAUUUCUCUCUCUCACACACCCAACAUAGAUAGAUAUCACACAUAGAACACGCCAACAGCGCCGAUGCAUGAAGCAGAGCUCCACGAUCUGUCGGAUGAUGCCGAUUACGCUGCGUCGAUUCAACAAGUAUUCGAUCUAACGCCAGAUUACUUGGAUUUUUACUUAUCACACAUGUUCAAUGGUUAAUUAUGAAUAAUAGGCGUUUUAUUCUCGUACUGCUUUUGAUUGCGGCGCCGCAUUGAUGUGAAAUUAAUGUUUUUGUUAAUACGAUAUUACUGGCGUGAUAUUGUUAGGGUUCAGAGAGCAUAUAUCGGGGCGACAGUAGCAAAAAGAGCUCAUGUAGCGAACCAGAGGGUGCGGAAAUCGUGUAUUUGAAAGAUAACGUGACAAUUCAUCCAACUCAAUAUGCGUCCGAGAGAAUCAGCGGCCGAUUGAAGUUGAUUAAACAAGGAAGUUCUCUUUUAAUGGUACCGAUUCAUCAGUAUCACCUAUUUUAUUGAAAAUUAGAGGAUGCUGCAAGUCAAUAUUUCAAGUUGAAUUCUAUUGUAGUUGGUGUGAGAUUCAUAGAAUUAGAAAACUUUAUGGUUAGGAAAAAAAUGAAAUAUUUGCCUGAAAGUUUCAGGGCUUCUGAUGAUAGACUGAUAGAUUGAAUGGUUUAUUCUCUUCUUUUUGCAAUAAAAAUAUUAUUUCUAUGUUAUAGAUUUGAAGACAAAACAAUUAAUUCCUUGUAAACUGUAAUUUUUCUUUAACUUCUCAAACAUUUUGGAUGUGUUAUAUGUCAGCUUAAUCUGAUAGAAAUUAAGUUUCUCCUUUAGACCAGCUAGUUUAUUGAAUUUUACUGCUUGAUUUGACGAUAAUUGUCAAGAUCACUUUUUACUUCAAUGAGAUGAGAUGAGGUGUUUAAUAGCAGCUAUGAGGAGGUUAUAUGUGAUAAUGAAAAACUACACAGGGUAUUAAAGUGCAAUUUUUAGCGUAAGUAGAUAACUAGUCUAUUGUGAAUUGUGAAUUGGUUUUUGGAGUGAUAUCCUCCGUGUUAUUGUAGACUUGGAUUCCAUACAAAGGGCAAAGUUCAAAUGCGAGGUUGUCUGAGAAAGGUUAGGCUUGAGUUUCACUUACUGUAAUCUCUCUUAUCUGAUACAUAAAAUAUACAAUACAUACAAAUGUAUUAGUUUUUCAUAACUAUGUGCAUUGCUUACGUUUUUCAAAUAUAUCUUGGCGCAGAUAAGAACCUUUACACUAUUAGAGCAGUUCCGUUUUCUGAAAUUCGAUCAAUACGUAGACACACUCCAACUCUAGGGUGGCAAUAUGUUAUUGUGGUUUUGUCAUCAGGUAUGCUUAUCAUCUACUGGUGAUUUCUCUUAUGUUCUAUAUUAAUACAUUUCCUUCUUUUUGAUCACUAGUAUCUUCCUAGAGGUUGAUGAUACGUGCUCCAUCACUAUAGUUUUACACGGGAAAUGUUUUUUUCUAGCCGAAACAAGAAGAAUGGCUUGGUUCUAAACUUGAACAAAAGAGGAAGAGGUCUUGGUGCAGAAGCUGCAUUGGAAUUGAAAAUCUUGAAACAAGAAUAAAGUUGAACAAACUCAAACUUUGUAGAGAAUAAUUUUAUUAAAAUGAAUUUGUCAUUGAAAAUAUUGCAAAUAGACAAAAUAAUCUUUUAAUCAUAAAAUCUUUAGGAAGAUAAGUAAUUAAAACUUAAAAAUAUCCUAAUCUAUGCAAGAUACUACAACUAUAAAUAACUCUUAUUCUAUUUUUGGUUGAAGAAGAGAAAAUUAAUUAAUAACGAGAAAUCUUUAAAGUUUCUGCAUCACGUUGUGAGAAUUUGAAUGUAGCUUGGAUUUGAGGAAAAGCUCUAGCCAUCGUUGUUGCGUUAUGGGCUUCAUGAAGCAACUAAUAUUUAUAGCUGUCAAAUUGUGCAAUUUUUUGUCAACAACGUUUUUAAAACCUAUCCAUAUUAGUUCAAAAUUCUAGACUGAGGUUGGUAAUAUUGUAAUCCUCCUAAUAUUGUCGAAAGGAUGCUAUCACCAUAUGUGGCCAUCAGUCUAGUGCAAAACCUUGUUCUAAUACUACUAAUUUGGUGUCAAAGUGGAAUUUGAAUUCUUAUAACAAGAAUAAAGUUGAACCAACUUGAAAAUUUGUAGAGAAUAAUUUUGUUAUAAUGAAUUGGUCAUUGAAAAAUUACAAAUCCUUUGUUUAUAUAGGCAAAAUAAUCACAUAAUCCUAAUAGCUUAAGGAAUAUUAGUAAUUAAAACAUAAGAGAAUAAGAAAGUAAAAAAAAAAAAAGUAUAGAAAGUUCUAAUCUAAACAAGAAAUAAAAUCAGACUACAACUCUAAAUAACUACUAUCCUGUUUUUCUGGUCUUGAUAAUCCACUGCUGCCUCUAGUAUCUUUUGAAAGUACAUGUACAGAAAGGUCUCCUAACUAGGAUGUGAUUGUGAUUCUGAAAUACACAAAUUUCCCAACAAAAACUCAUUUAUAGAUCCUAAUAAUAUUCAACAUCAGGGCAAAAUGUAAUUAAGAUUGUCAAAUGGAAUUUGCUGCUAAUGAAGCCAUUCUGAAUAUUCCAAAUAUUACCUUGAUCAAGAUACACACACAAAGAGGUGUUGCAUCAAGUACUAUGUAUUAAAACAUGACAAUAACAAAUAAUCUUCAGUCGAACCAGAAAAGUUUGUGAUUGAGACCAGGAUAGAAGUCCAAGUUUUUCUAAGUUUCCAAAUGGGUCACUCCUGGAAACAUGUCAAAUGUGAAAUUAGGCCCUUGAAUUUGCUUUACUUGGCAUUUCACAUGGACAUCGCUUAUCCUAAUCCGAGCAUUGUGAUUUGUUAGCUGUUUCAUGAAUCUAUGGAAUUCAUGUUUAUCUUUCUAAAAUCCUGAUUUUUUCUAAUUAUUUUGUCAUGCUAUUCCUUUGAUCUUUACUAUGUCCUCUUGUAUGCUCACAUGCAAUGUAUUUAGUGGAGGUUGGACUCAUCCUAAAUUAUCAGUACCACUCCUUAGCUUUCAAUCUAAAUUAAUUUUUCCAUAUUUAAUUCAGACUCUUAGCCAUAUUUUAAAAUAUAAAACAACUAAGGGUGCGUUUGAUUGCAAGCAUGAAAUUUGCAUAAAAAGAAAAUAAAUCUAUGUAAUUCAAUUGCCUAGAACUUAUUGGAUGAAAAUUGUCAAUUAAAUGUGUUUAAUUGAUUUAAUUUUCAACCUAAAAAAUAUCAUACUUGUCCGAUUUUUAUUAAUGGGUAGAUGAGAGAGAGAAAGAGAUAGUGAAUUUCCUGAAAAAUAAAAUCUUGCUCUCCUAAAGAAAAUAUUUUUCUUGAUUUUGAGGAAAAUAUAGUCAUGUGACAAAAGUAGGAAAAUAUUUUCCAUGGAAAAAUGUCAAGUCAAACAGCACAAAAGUAGGAAUUUACGUGGAAAGAAUACAUUUCCAUUUAAAAUAUUGGCAAUCAAAUGCACCGUAAGAUACAUACAUUUUUUCCUCCUUAACAUUUUAGGUCAACUGAUAUUUCACCCCAUUAUUAGUAAAAAUACAGAGGUUAAUAAACUUAAGAUUAGCAAACAUACACAAUUUUACAAUUUUAAAUGUUUAUUUCUGAGCAUUUCUUUUUAGUGAGAAAUUUUUCAUUUUUAAUGUUAUUAUGCUCCUUCCAUCUGAAAUUGUCCAGCCGCCUUGUUAUUUUGGGACUUCUCAUAUAGAUGUCCACUUACCUAAUACUAAUUUUCUUUUUUCUAAAAUUACCCCAAAUUAAAGAGAUCUAAUCCUAUGGCCUCGGCCCUCGUGUAUAGUGCAUGUGGAUCGUCUAUGAUGGGCAAUUUCGGAAGUUUAUGCAGAAGUUCCCCCUGAAACUCUUUCAUAAAAGCCAGUACCCUAUAAUUGCAGACAUUGAAUAUAAGGAGGGAUGCUUUUGAUAAAAUUUUGUUCAGAGUAUUGUUUGCCUCAUUUAUUUUCGUUCAGGAAGAAGGUUUACCCGAGACUGUACUUUCGGAAUUUAUAUUGUUUAAAUUUUAUGAUUCAUAUGCAAACACAGGUGGGUACAUAUCUAUCUUUUCAACCAAAGGUGCAGAUAUAUCUAUUGGUUCUCUAGGCAUAAAUUUAGUGCCUUUGGCUGUUACCAGUAACAGGCACUUUUAUUUGCUGUUUCUAAUGCUGAUCUUUAUUUUCCUAGGUUGUUUCCUUUCCACUUAACUUCAAUUUCCACUCACCUUUAGUCAAUUACUCUGCCGCUUGUAGGACUAGCAUUUCCUCCUCUUUACUUUUACAAUGGUGGAGUUAAAGAAUUUCUUGGAACUAUUAAGCAACACGUUUUGCUUGUGAGGUAUUUUUUGCUACUCUGCAAUUCUUCUUCACCAGUAUAACUUUUUAUUUAUUUAUUUAUUUGUAUGCACCUAAAACUGGAAUCUAUAGGAAAAUAAACUAUUGUGAGAUGUAUAUACAAAUUCUUUACAAGUAGAAUGCUCUAAGUAGUCCUCCAAAAAAGAAAAAAAGAAAAGAGAAGUAUUAUUCCCAAUAAAUUUUGGGGUUGACUGCAUGAAGGCAAUUUCGUCGUUCACUUGGUCCUUCAUUAAGGGGGUUUUCACAACUGGGGUUUUAAUUGGUUUUGAAAGAUUACGAAUUCUCAUGAAUUCGAAUGGAAUUCAAUAAAACCCAUAAGAAUCUCAUUAAAAAUGGUGAAAUUUCUAAAAAGUUUGUCAUGUGUAUUUAAAGUUUGAAAUCCAUUCAAAUAUCUUAGAAUCCCGUAUUAAUGAAGUCCUAUAAAUCGAUGAGUUGUAGGGGACUCCUAGAUUUUAAUAAAUCUGAGUUGACAACAAUUAAAAUCCAUUAAAAUCUCAGUUGGGGGACACACGUAUUUAUAUAGACCUAAAUUGUUGAAAUCUCAAUUCAGGACAUCCCCUAAUUCUAUUGGAAGAUCCAAUUCACUCAUGACAAAUACUGCAUCCAUUAAUUUAGUAAGCAAUCAGUAAUGGAAUGCUUGGUUGAAUGCAUCAGAUGCUGAUUUUGAUAGUCAAUUACUUGUGCUUUAAGUUAAAUUUUAAGGAAAAUACCAAAGUCUUACUUUACUUUCCUUGGAACGUUAAUAUUACAUGGAACCUUCUUUGCACACUAGCUCCUACUAUUCAAAAGUUUUCUGAGAAGUCCUGAAAUGGAAAAGAGAAAUGUAUGUUGUUCCCUUCUCCCCCCUCUAAUCUAAAGACAUUACUAUUUGUCUCUUCAUCAUUAUUGAAGCCGUAAACAUAAAAUUUGAAUAUUAUGAAUCAGAUAUUUGUUAAUGAGCUUGUUUCUGAUGCCAAGUUAUUAAAGAUAAUUAAUUACUUUCUGAUUAUUGGUAAAAUUGAUUUUUAAAAAUGUAGGAUAAACUAAAGAUCCCUUAAAUAUAAAAGGGAAAAGGUGAUGCUGAAUAUGAUUGAAUAGUAUCAAGUUGAUUCUGAAAUGUAGAAAUGGAUGAUAUAAUUACAAGUGAAACAGAGGAAGGGGGAAAAUGUCAUAGACAAUAUGUCGUUACAAGGCUUUGGCCUAACAGGAUUAAGCCUGCCUUUGGAUGGAAAUAUAUGCAGUUUAAAGCAGGUCGUUUACGUAAUUAUUGGAGGUGGACAUUCCAAGAAACAUUAGAAAGGAUUGUAAUUGAUAGAAAAUAUUGGGGUUGUUUUUCAAAGUUUUUGCUAAAAGUUUUAGUUGAUUUUGAUAGAAGUUGAUGAAACAUGUUGAAAAAUUGAUAAAAGUGUGGGUCCAAUGAAAUGUGGGUUAAUAUUAAUAGUUGACUUUGACCUCAUUUUUUAAGCAACUGUUUAAGCUUUCCCAAAUAACCACUAGUUGUUUGUUAAGGUUCUUGGACUUCUUUCAAAUCACUUUUGUGGGAAAAUUUUUAAUUGGAACUAUUGGCUGGUGGAGACUUCGAUGUAACUUUUGUCUUAAUCGUUCCCCCAUAUAACCAUUGCAACUGUUUCCAAUUUCAUUUGGGAAAGAAAAGUAAAGUAGCGAUGCUGCUAAGGUAACCACAAUAGGUGGAAACAGUUAUUUUCAGUUGCAAUGAUUGUUACUAGUUUCACUUUCUCACUAGAUUUUAUGUAACCAGGUCAGCUGAAGAUGCUAACGUGUUUCUUGUGAACGAUUUUCAAGAUCCUCUCCAGGUGAGCAUUAUAUUUAGUCAUUUUUUGGUUUUUACGCUGGCCUAAGGAAUAAGGUUGUCUAUUGUGAAUAACUGCUUUUCUUUCCUGUAAUGUUUACAAUUGCUUUGUACAGAGAACUCUAUCUUCAUUGGAGAUUUCCAGGGCUGUUUCUGUUGCAAAUGGUCCCUCUCCAACUCUUUCUACUGAAUCCGCCUCUGGUGGUGAUCCAGAAAACGGUGCUUCUGAUCAAAGCUCUAUUAGGUUUCAGCAAAAUGGCAGGCAGAGGCAAAAACAUAAUGAUCCUGCUCGGGAUAUUUCAAUUCAAGUGCUGGAGAAAUUCUCUCUUGUCACCAGAUUUGCUCGUGAAACAACUUCCCAGCUCUUCCGUGAAAGUCAUAUUGAUGCCUUUACUCCUAAUGAAAGAAAGAAGCACAAUCAGUCUACCCAUGAUCACCAGAGUGUUAUCAUGUCUAAUGAUUCUCAAAAAGUUCCAGAGGAUGUUUCUGAAACCUCAGAUCCCCCCUCCGACCCCCUGGAGGUAACAUAUUGAGUAUAUUUAGACAGGCUUAAAAACUUAUUUAACUUAUGAGGAGUGAGAUAAUGUAUGUGGAAUAAGUAAGCUUAUAAGCCCCCAAACAGGCUCUAUCCUCUCUCUCCUUCUCGUUCAAAAUUUUCUGGAAACCUGACCUUGAUGGAGUGUUAUUUACCUGGUUGUUUCCAAGUGACCUAGGGAAAAGUAAAUGGACACAAAAUAAAGCCUAUUUAAUUUUUUUGGCUUAUGAAUUGUGAGGAGGUAUAUAAGAAGCCUUGUUGUUUUACUGAGAAUCUCCAUUUGUUCCCACUUUAAUAAAAAAAAAAACACAUUAUCCAUCUUAUUCAUUGGAAAUUUGUCAGAAAUUUCAUUUCAUGCCAGGAAUUUUAAGUUAGUCUACUUUGACAUCCAUGCCCAAUAUAGCACACCUGAUCUGAAUUUGUCUUAUCUAUUCCCUUUUAUGGGAAAUCUCAAAUCAAUGUUGGCCACCUGAAGUUAAUUGCUUCAUAAAUCUUAUCUUUGAAAGCUCCUUGUACUCAGAUCUUCUAUUCAUUUUUUGUUUUUCAAUAACCACAUGAAGCAUCACCACCUCCAUUACUGAGGGAACCCAUGUUUAUUUUUCUACACAUCCUGGCUCCAAUAAUAAUAAUAAUAUUAUUAUCAUCAUCAUCAUCAUCAUCAUCAUCAUCAUUAUAUAUGGGCACCCUAACUCUUCCUAUUACUUCUCAUUAAACCUAAGCUCUGAUGCAUUGUGUCAUUAGUGGGUAAGCCCCCAACAAAAUGUUCCAAAUAAUUCAUGUUAUUGAUAUGACUGUCAAACUGUCACAAUCCUCUUCCUUUAUCCGAGCUUGGAAAUUGCUAUGAAGAAAUCUAGGCAUAGUUACCAUGUCAUCUUAGACUGUCUCCUGAAAAUCAGAUAAUCAGUUUGCUUUGGGAACAUAAAAAAAUUAAUAAUUCAAUCUUGUUAGUUUUGGAUUGCUAUUGCACAGAUUUCUGAUGUUAAACGUAUGAAUCCUAUAAAAAUGCUCACUCUGUUAUUAAAAACUGUGAACCCAGGUUCCUCAGAAUCGUUAGUUACUCAAGAUUUUCAAAUAAUACUUUGAGAAGGAAAGAGGAAGUUGAAAGACUACGGAAUAUUAUGCUUCUUAAACCAACUUGAAUUCUCAACUCUAAAUGUAAAAAGCUCCAAUUACCUGUAGCUGGUAGCGAUAUAAGCUUAGAACUAAACAACAGUUAAUAAGAAGUGUUUAAACUACAAUGCUGAGGUAGAUUGAUUAUCUUCCCAUUCCGUGAGAGACUAACAUUCUAAGUGGGCACCAGAAUAUUGAUUCUCCUACUCAAAAUGGUUGAAUAAUGUUAUGAUGGAAUUACCUCUAUUUUUAUUUGGGCUACUAAGUAAUUCUUCACUUGGUCAUACCCCAUCUUUCUAGCUCAUCUACAUAUUCUACAAAGUUGGACAACCUUUAUGGCCUAUAAAAUUUCUUAAUAUUAUUCACUUCAAACUACAAGCAAAUGUGAGGUCAAUGAACUUUUGAGAAAUCCAAUAUAUUAUAUGGUGGUGUUGAUUUAUUAUCAUUCAUAAUUCCAAUUAUAUUCAUGAUUUGAAGUUCUACAUGCAUUGCUUCAAUGUUAUCAAACUCUUUUUCUUUUUCUUUUUCUUUUUUCCCUUUCUUAAAUACGCACAGUGAAAUUUUAUUAUCAAUUAGAACUCCUUUUUAUUUUGGCUGACUCGUGUUUCAUGAAUUUAGUUCUCAAAUUAUGAUAUUUGCAUUUUAUAAUUUCAUCUUCUUUUGGCAGUUUGAUAGAUUAUCACUAGUAUGGGGAAAACCACGCCAACCACCCUUGAGACGUGAAGAGGUAAAUACCAUCUUUAAGUAUUCUUUGUAAGCAUCUAAUAUGCUAUGUUUAUGUUUUUGAGAUCGUAGCAUUUUUUGCCCCAUUAUAUGACUAUCAUGCCAGAAGAUUUAUAUGUAUCUGAAUAACAAUGUUAGUAGAUGCUCGUGUAAAAUCCCCCUUUUAAAAAGUUUUAUGUCGGUGACAAAUGUUAUUAUAUCGGCAAAAUAGACAAUUAUUAAGUGUUAUAAGAAUCUUAAAUGACAAACUCACAAAUCAAAGACCUGAUGACAACAAUAGACAAAAAUGGGGUUUCAACUUCCACCUUGGUGUUGAGUGUUCAAACCGCAGAGCUCAUAUGUAGAGACCCAGAUGCCUUGAACUUCCGUCCUUUUGGAACCAUUGGAGUAUUUAAGGCAUCAUGUUGAUAAAGAAAAUCCAUUCUAAUUGCUAGGAUACUUCUUUUAGAGCUACAAAGACAAUCUCAAAUACAACUUGAGGGAAUAAAACAUCAACCAUCAGCUAUGCUGUUCAUAUGUUGUUUGGUCACCUCUUUCUCUUUCUUUCUUUUUUUAGCAAUUAGGGGUAUAGAAAGGAGCUAAGUCUGUGAAACUAAAGUUUGUAGACGAGAGAUGAAUUGGGGAUGAUUAACGAUGGUAAAAUCAUAAGUUAGCGUGUGAAUCUGUUUUCUUUUUUGUUGUUGAUUAAUACAUUUAAGAGGGUAUUCCUUUUUAUUUUUUCUUUAUUUUUGUUGUGCUACUUGAAGGAGACAGGAGCUAUGGUUUUGAUAUCAAUUUAGGGCUACAAUUUGAUCUACUUGUUUUGUCCAAUUCCUCCAAUGCUUUUUCCUCCUAGUUAGUUUCUGUCUUUUAAGCCGUCAAUUUUUUUCUUUCUUGUUUUGUUUUUUCUUGGUUAAUAUGACCACUUUGGUUUUAUUGCCAUACUUUUAGUGCUGAAGGUUAGCUUAUCUUCUUAUAUAUGCCUUGUGCAUCAAUGAUGUGCGAUAGAAUGACUGCGGCACCAAUGCAUUCACUUGUGUCAUGGGUAGAUUUCCUUUUACUGCACAAGAAGUACGUGUUAUAUUAUAUCUCUGAGUUGAUAGUGUACUUGCAGUGGACUACAUUUUUGGAUUCUGAAGGGCGAGUGAUGGAUUCAAAGGCGUUGAGAAAGAGGAUCUUCUAUGGAGGAGUGGAGCACAAUUUGCGGGCGGAGGUUUGAGUAUUUGAAGAUGAUUUUUUGUUUUGGAAACAUGCUAUCACUUUAUUUCAUUCAGUUAUGUUCUUUAUGUCCCGAGUCUGUUAUGAGUCUCAUCAUUAUGAUUUACAGGUUUGGACAUUCUUAAUGGGAUACCAUGAAUAUGGUUCAACAUAUGCAGAGAGGGAAUACCUCAUGUCCAUAAGGAAGUCAGAGUAUGAAACCAUAAAAAGGCAAUGGCAGGUUAGUUACUGAUUUUGUAUAUGCUUGAAAUAUAGAUGCAUUUGUUUCGAGAAUUAUUUCAAAUCUCAUUAUUGUUAAUGCUCAAGAUUACAGGGGCCCACCUUUUUCACCUUUUCUAUUUCUUUUCUUUUUUUAAGAAAAUUUUAUCUUAGUGUCAUUUUUCAUCCCAAAUGCAGACAAUUUCCUUACACAUACCUUAUUGUUGCAGUAGACUUGUAAUGUCUCCCUCCACUGUCUUGUUGCUGCUCCAUGUUGUAAUUUUGGAGUAUGCCCCUAAUGAGAAAGCCUUUUGACCUUGUUCUAAAUGUAGACUGAAACCCUAUUAGCCCUGUUCUUAAUUCUUAUAGGGUAUUCACGAACCAAAGGAAGGCACCAAGCCGAAGUUUAGAAAUCACAUAGGUCAAUAUCUGCUCAGUCUACGUUAGCAGCUUGGUAAGACUAGGGUGCACAUUUUCAAGAUGUUACUUGAUUACCUUUCCAACCUUUGCUUCGUCGUAUGUUCAAUCAAAAAAAGGUCUCAAAAAGAGCCUUUACAUUAUAGUAGAUUAGGAAAGUGCACUCACUCUGAUGGCGUACCUUUUGCAUGUUGGGUCAGCAGGAAAUGGGAAACCACAUCUUGGAUAACUAGGAAAAAGCCUAUAUUUUUUAAUUAGUAAAGAUUCUUUUUAGGAAAAAUAUUGAUUUUCCUAGAGGAAAGGACUGACUUAUUUGAGACAAAUUGUCGUGGCAUCAUAUUAUUCUCUUCACAUCAGAUUCUACCUCGAUAUAUCUUUUAUUGAUAGUUUUGGUAUCUAAAACUGAACCUGAGAGUGUAAUUUAUGUAGAAAGUAUCAUUGAAAUCAAUGGAAAGAAUGCUCCAAAUGACUUGACACUAUAACAGAAGUAAGGGAAUAUGUC
rnacentral:lncRNA from 1 species